rnacentral:lncRNA from 1 species
AGGAAAAAGUCAAGUUUAUAGUCCAAUGCUGCCAUGUUGGGGCAGCUGGUGAGUCUCUGACCAUAGGGUGAUAAGGGGUACCCAAGGAGGUUAAAGGAGGUGCCAUUGCUGUUGGGCUGAAUGCAUUGUGGUUGUCAAACAUCAGAGAGAAAAGGGCUUUUACUACAGACUCACAGCAUAACAUCACUUAUCGGUGGAAUUUAAGCACAUCCUUAGCAAGACUGAAAUAUUCAUAUUUUGCAGGCACUGCAACAAAGCUUAGAUUCACCAAGAUAAAAAAUGAAAUAAAAAGCCCUUCCCAUGUUAAAACUUUCUAGCCAAUACUACUGGUCUGAUUUGCUGAUUCAUCUGAUUUCUUUUUCUUGGCAUGGACAGAGUCAUACAGGCUGAGAAUUUCUCUUGCUCAUAAAUCUGUUCGCACUGCCUUAACAAACCCAAAUGAGGAAGGGGAGAGCAGGAACCCCUUAAAUAUGCCUUGCCACAACAGAAAGAGCAAUAUGGUCUCCUCUUUACAGAGCUGGAACAGGAGGGCAGACAGUUAAAUACUCCCUGGAGCUCUCAGCCAAACUUUCCUUAUUGAAAAAUUAGAUUAGCAAGGCUGAGAGUCUCCUGGUAACUGAUACCUCGUCUGUGUUUGCCGAGCAGUGAUAACACAAGUCGUAUCAGCCACAAAACCACGGGAACUGGCAGUGCUUGUUACCUCUUGUGAGCAACACUGCUAAUGAAGCAGGGAGCUCCAGGCAGAAGGGGCCUCCAGGUCAGCACGUGAAGCAAAAAGGAUGCCAUCCUCAUGAGAAAGAAGGUCACCGCACCCGUGAGGGCAUGGCCAUGAGAAAGGAGAAGGUCACAGUCAUCAUCAUGGCCCCAUGCAGGGUCACAGGGGAGGUCAGUGCCACGCCCCUGGCCAUAUGCAUGGCUAUGGGAAAUUGAGCCACAAAUAACACCGUGGCCCUUGCAAUGAGGGAGGCUGCAGAAGGAGCAGCCACCCUGAGGCUCUGUGAGCUCUCAGGAAGAUCUGCCCAUGGCGCAGGGCGAUGCGUGGC